GUCAUAGACCCCACGGCUGAAGCCGGGGGCUUGUCCUCCAGGUUUCGGCCGUAGGCCACGAGGCCUCGCUAUGAUCAGCCUCAGAGGCCUGACCCGAAGGACAAGGGGAUGAAGGCCCUACGUUACCGGGGAGAGCCAGAGUUCGCACUCCGGGAUGCUCCUCCAGUCCCGAGACCCUGCAACCCGGCGGUUAAACAGCGAGCUGGGGGUGCAGCGAGCGGUGCCGCCGGGAGGAGGCCGCCCGGUAACAUUGGCGAGGAGGGAGGCUG
rfam:Ammonifex degensii KC4, complete genome.